rnacentral:rRNA from 1 species
CCUACGGGGUGCUGCAGUGGGGAAUAUUGGACAAUGGGCGAAAGCCUGAUCCAGCCAUGCCGCGUGUGUGAAGAAGGCCUUCGGGUUGUAAAGCACUUUCAGUGGGGAAGAAAGCCUUGGGGCUAAUACCCUCGAGGAAGGACAUCACCCACAGAAGAAGCACCGGCUAACUCCGUGCCAGCAGCCGCGGUAAUACGGAGGGUGCGAGCGUUAAUCGGAAUUACUGGGCGUAAAGCGCGCGUAGGCGGUCUGAUAAGCCGGUUGUGAAAGCCCCGGGCUCAACCUGGGAACGGCAUCCGGAACUGUCAGGCUAGAGUGCAGGAGAGGAAGGUAGAAUUCCCGGUGUAGCGGUGAAAUGCGUAGAGAUCGGGAGGAAUACCAGUGGCGAAGGCGACCUUCUGGACUGACACUGACGCUGAGGUGCGAAAGCGUGGGUAGCAAACAGGAUUAGAUACCCUAGUAGUC